GAAGCCAGGAGUGAAUUUUGACAGUGUUCAAGCUCUGCCUGAAGGGAGUUUCAUAUCUUGAAACUUGGCUAGAUAUUAGUCAAGGUUGAAAGGUCUUGUCUUGCUCAACCCUUUGAACUCUGUGGACUGAGGUCAAAAAAAUUACUCUUUUCCUUUUUCCCCAAAACUGUCUCAAAACACUGAAGAAUCAAAGAUCACCACCAUUGCUCAUCGAGUAAAUAGUUCUGAGCAACAAAGUGCUAGGAGACUCUCCCAGCCCUAUCUCGAGAUGGCUGGGGAUUGAUUCUGGAGCUUUCUACCCUCAGAGAAGUGUUCCAUCCCCACACUAUGAUUUUUUGCCAGGGAAACUGAUUAUUUACACUCCAGCUUUGAAUGUGCAAAGUUGUGGGGCCAAGGACUACCCUCAGUCUUUGAGUGCUGUUCCACGGCUGCAAGACCAGGACAAAAAGAAUGACCCCAGGAUCAAAUCUGAAACUGAUAUUAGUAUAAUUAAAAAGGACAUUUCUUCUUCAUGUAGAUCAGGUUUCAGUCAUCAUCCUAAGGUCCUUUAUAUCUUGCAGCAAGUGCAGGAGUACAGCAAGUCAACAGGCUUAAGAAACCAAGGUUGAUGAGCUUGCUACAGUGAUGGAACUUCCAGAGGACAAAGAGCUACCCAAUGUCAGAUACUGAAGAAGAAUUACUUCCAGCCAUCAAGUGGCAGAGGAGGAGGGAGAUGGGUAUUUCCUAGAAAUAUGGUGGCACGUGGAGGCUCUUUGCUUCCUGGUUCAGCAAAGUGCCAGUUCUGUUUGAUAUUCCCGUACCUAAACUGUCCAGCACAAUAAACUCUCCUGUUCAUUAAAGCCA